GUACACUCCUACGGGAGGCAGCAGUGGGGAAUAUUGAACAAUGGGCGCAAGCCUGAUCCAGCCAUGCCGCGUGAGUGAUGAAGGCCCUAGGGUUGUAAAGCUCUUUCACCGGUGAAGAUAAUGACGGUAACCGGAGAAGAAGCCCCGGCUAACUUCGUGCCAGCAGCCGCGGUAAUACGAAGGGGGCUAGCGUUGUUCGGAUUUACUGGGCGUAAAGCGCACGUAGGCGGACUAUUAAGUCAGGGGUGAAAUCCCGGGGCUCAACCCCGGAACUGCCUUUGAUACUGGUAGUCUUGAGUUCGAGAGAGGUGAGUGGAAUUCCGAGUGUAGAGGUGAAAUUCGUAGAUAUUCGGAGGAACACCAGUGGCGAAGGCGGCUCACUGGCUCGAUACUGACGCUGAGGUGCGAAAGCGUGGGGAGCAAACAGGAUUAGAAACCCCAGUAGUCCCA
rnacentral:rRNA from 1 species